rnacentral:rRNA from 1 species
UGUCCUACGGGGGGCUGCAGUGAGGAAUAUUGGGCAAUGGGCGAGAGCCUGACCCAGCAACGCCGCGUGGAGGAAGACGGCCUUCGGGUUGUAAACUCCUUUUGACAGGGAAGAGAGAGGACGGUACCUGUCGAAUAAGUCACGGCUAACUACGUGCCAGCAGCCGCGGUAAUACGUAGGUGACAAGCGUUAUCCGGAAUUACUGGGCGUAAAGCGCACGCAGGCGGCUGCUUAAGUCUGACGUGAAAUCUCCUGGCUUAACUGGGAGGGGUCGUUGGAAACUGGGUAGCUUGAGGUGGUGAGAGGGGUGCAGAAUUCCCGGUGUAGUGGUGGAAUGCGUAGAUAUCGGGAGGAAUACCAGUGGCGAAAGCGGCACCCUGGCACUGACCUGACGCUCAUGUGCGAAAGCGUGGGGAGCAAACGGGAUUAGAUACCCCAGUAGUCAAA